CUGGCUCAGGAUGAACGCUAGCUACAGGCUUAACACAUGCAAGUCGAGGGGCAGCAUGAACUUAGCUUGCUAAGUUGAUGGCGACCGGCGCACGGGUGGGUAACGCGUAUCCAACCUACCCCUUAGUAGGGCAUAGCCCGUAGAAAUGCGGAUUAAUACCCUAUGUUUUCCGGAGACGGCAUCAGAACUGGAACAAAGAUUGAUCGCUAAGGGAUGGGGAUGCGUACGAUUAGGUUGUUGGCGGGGUAACGGCCCACCAAGCCUGCGAUCGUUAGGGGUUCUGAGAGGAAGGUCCCCCACACUGGUACUGAGACACGGACCAGACUCCUACGGGAGGCAGCAGUGAGGAAUAUUGGUCAAUGGGCGUGAGCCUGAACCAGCCAAGUAGCGUGCAAGGACGACGGCCCUACGGGUUGUAAACUGCUUUUAUCAGGGGAUAAAGUGCGGGACGUGUCCCUCAUUGCAGGUACCUGAUGAAUAAGGACCGGCUAAUUCCGUGCCAGCAGCAGC
rnacentral:rRNA from 1 species